UACGUAGGGGGCAAGCGUUGUCCGGAAUCAUUGGGCGUAAAGCGCGUGUAGGCGGCCCGGUAAGUCCGCUGUGAAAGUCGGGGGCUCAACCCCCGGAUGCCGGUGGAUACUGUCGGGCUAGAGUGCGGGAGAGGCGAGUGGAAUUCCUGGCGUAGCGGUGAAAUGCGCAGAUAUCAGGAGGAACACCAAUUGCGAAGGCAGCUCGCUGGAACGUUACUGACGCUGAGACGCGAAAGCGUGGGGAGCAAACAGG
rnacentral:rRNA from 1 species